CUGAUUUUAGUCCCGGCAAGUCACGUGAAACCUCGCGAGAAGAGAGAAAGCUCGCGGAAUCUUGCGGGAGAGUCUGACCCUUCAAGAGUAGGGGGCGGAGGGCAGAGUGUUGCAGACGCCAGGCGGCGGAGGAGACCGAAAACCACCCUUGCAUGGUGCUGGCGUCUUCGUGGGCGGUCGCGCCGUUCCUGGACGUCCUGUAACCUGGUGACCUGGCGACUCAGGGCAUCCUAGUGGUCCUUUUUGCCAGCGGGAGCAGUCAACAGAAGGAUCCAGGAAAUUUCCUGGAAGUGUGUGGUGAGGAUGCUCUAUGGAAAGACACAUAUAGGACGAAAAAGAGACUUCCUUUCAGCAACCAUGUUGGAACCAUCUGGACCGUCAUGGAAACAUAUCUUCCAGCCCUGUCAAACCUUUAGAUGACUACAGUCUUUACUAGGAUCCAGACUGUGAUUUCAUGAGGGAACUGAAGCCACAGCCACUCAGCUAAACUCCUGGAUUCCUGCCCCACAGAAAUAGCUCAAUAAUAAAUAUUUUUUGUUUUGUUUUUUAA